UGUAAAUGUUCACUUAACGAGCUUGUGUUUAUCUUUGUAAUCAUAUCGGACUUGACUUGAUCAGCUGCUACGAUACCGGUGCUGAAAUCUGUGUGUUUACACUUUUGAGACACCGGAAGUGGGUGAUAGUAAUAACAGGAAUAGGUUCACGCUCCUCACUCGCAUGCUUUUAGAUGGUGAGGCUGGGUUCGAGAUUAACAGUUGGCCACUCAUCUUCGAGGCUAUUUGGUGGGAGGAGCAGGGGGUAUAAAACAGCGGGUCCGGGCUAGGAUCAGUGUCUUGACAGGGUCGAUGGUGAAGACAACGCUCCCAAAGAAGUUGAGUCAGACAACUAUGCCUUCACCCAACAAAGUGACAAGAAAGAAAUAGACUGGUAACAAAAGGAAAAGGAGGUGAAGGGUUUCCCCAUUCACCUACAUCCUCAUGAUCAAGUUCAGAUGAGGAUGAUAGCACAGAUUCCAGCAGCAGCAGUAGUUACAUUGACUCUGACUCUGAAAGGGAUUCUGAUAAUGAGCCAAAUCCCUGUUCUCCUGGUCUAUUGUCAUGUCCAAUCGCUAGUCAAGUAGAUACAAAAAUAAAAAAACAAAAUAUGGCAAAACAUAUAUGUUGAUUUUGCAAAAUUGUUGCCAAGCCAAAAGUUACGCAAUGGAAACACUGCAUUUCAAAUUCAGCUCCAGAGUGCUAACCGGUCACAAUUUCGGGUCACCAGGACCAAACAAAGGCCAGCACUUAAUACAAUUGAGCAAUGGAAAACUGCUUUCAUAAGAUUUGUCGCCAUUUAUUCAGGAAAAAAAAAAAAAAAAAAAAGAUCCUAAAGAAAUCCCACUGGUGUUAAAGCAUGGGGAAGUAGUUCGCGACAUGGCGGCUAGGAGAACAGGUACAACAUGACUGGAUUAUGUCCAGUAAGUUAGAAGGAAUGUGGAGGUCAGGUCCAUACCUUGGGGUUUUUUCCAUACUGAGAAUUGGGUAAUGGCAAACACUCCAAAGCAGCAUAUAGCCAUCACCAGAAUGAUCGGUCCUUUCGGGACCUACCCGGGGGGUUCAGAGCAAAGCAUAGACAAAUAGCCAUCGGUCAUUGCUUCGUGUUGCACAUUAGAGGGAAAUGUACAGUACAAUCCUGUCCAUUCCAACACACAUGUUUUCAGUGUGGCCAGUCCCAUUCAGUACUCAGCUGCUCACCAGGCAGCACAUUAAGGAAAAACAACGUUAAACCCUACCACAAACAUCAAACCAAAAACCAGCAGGCAUCAAAACAAAACUAGUGUCCCCACCACACUUGUUACACCUGUGCAGGUAGACAUUCUAAAGCUAUUUCUAAAAGGUUAUAUGAUAAAGAGCUUUCAGAAGUGUUGGUAGCUGGGUUUUCAGAGAGUAAUUUAGUUUCUGCUUUUCAGAAUGAGGAACUGGUAUCACAAAAAUUGAACAAGGAAAUUUCAUCGUGGAGGAUAGUGGGUCCUUUCCAUAACCCACCUUUUUAGUUCAUGCAAUGUUCCCCAAUUGGUUUAUUACCAAAAAA